GCCAGUGGGGAAUUUUGGACAAUGGGGGCAACCCUGAUCCAGCCAUCCCGCGUGUGCGAUGAAGGCCUUCGGGUUGUAAAGCACUUUUGGCAGGAAAGAAAGGUCCGCGGGUUAAUACCCCCGCGAAUACUGACCGGUUACCCGCAGAAUAAGCCCGCAUAUGUCGCCCCC
rnacentral:rRNA from 1 species